rnacentral:misc_RNA from 1 species
UGUGAUGGUCCUGACGUGCCUCUGGGU